UACGUAGGGCGCAAGCGUUAUCCGGAAUUAUUGGGCGUAAAGAGCUCGUAGGCGGUCUGUCGCGUCUGCUGUGAAAACUCGGAGCUUAACCCCGGGCCUGCAGUGGGUACGGGCAGACUAGAGUGCGGUAGGGGAGACUGGAAUUCCUGGUGUAGCGGUGAAAUGCGCAGAUAUCAGGAGGAACACCGGUGGCGAAGGCGGGUCUCUGGGCCGUAACUGACGCUGAGGAGCGAAAGCGUGGGGAGCGAACAGG
rnacentral:rRNA from 1 species